rnacentral:tRNA from 1 species
AUUGAUAUAGUUUAAUUAAAAUACUAGGUUGUGGUUCUAGGGAUAGAGGUUAGAGUCCUCUUGUUGAUC